rnacentral:rRNA from 1 species
UAUUGGUCAAUGGGCGGGAGCCUGAACCAGCCAAGCCGCGUGAAGGAGGAAGGCGCCAGGCGNCGUAAACUUCUUUUGUCGGGGANNCCNNNGNGCCACGCGUGGCGUUGUGAGUAUACCCGAAGAAAAANNNANGNCUAACUCCGUGCCAGCAGCCGCGGUAAUACGGAGGAUGCGAGCGUUAUCCGGAUUUAUUGGGUUUAAAGGGUGCGUAGGCGGUCCGGAAAGUCAGCGGUAAAAGCCCGGGGCUCAACCCCGGCGAGCCGUUGAAACUGUCGGACUAGAGACGGCGAGAAGUACGCGGAAUGCGCGGUGUAGCGGUGAAAUGCAUAGAUAUCGCGCAGAACUCCGAUUGCGAAGGCAGCGUACCGGCGCCGGCCUGACGCUGAGGCACGAAAGCGUGGGUAUCGAACAGGA